AUUGAACGCUGGCGGCAUGCCUUACACAUGCAAGUCGAACGGUAACGGGCCUUCGGGUGCCGACGAGUGGCGAACGGGUGAGUAAUACAUCGGAACGUGCCCGAUCGUGGGGGUUAACGAGGCGAAAGCUUUGCUAAUACCGCAUACGAUCUACGGAUGAAAGCAGGGGACCGCAAGGCCUUGCGCGGACGGAGCGGCCGAUGGCAGAUUAGGUAGGUGGUGGGAUAAAAACUUACCAAGCCGACGAGCUGUAGCUGGGCUGAGAGGAUGAUCAGCCACACUGGGACUGGAACACGGCCCAGACUCCUACGGGAGGCAGCAGUGGGGAAUUUUGGACAAUGGGCGCAAGCCUGGUCCAGCCAUGCCGAGUGCAGGAUGAAGGCCUUCGGGUUGUAAACUGCUUUUGUACGGAACGAAAAGCCUUCUUUUAAUACAGGAGGGUCAUGACGGUACCGUAAGAAUAAGCACCGGCUAACUACGUG
rnacentral:rRNA from 1 species